CAAUAGCGUAUAUUAAAGUUGUUGCGGUUAAAAAGCUCGUAGUUGGAUUUCUGCUGAGAACGACCGGUCCGCCCUUUGGGUGUGUAUCUGGCUCUUUCUUGGCAUCUUCUUGGUGAACGUUGCUGCACUUGACUGUGUGGAGCGCUACCCAGGACUUUUACUUUGAGGAAAUUAGAGUGUUUCAAGCAGGCAUACGCCUUGAAUACAUUAGCAUGGAAUAAUAAGAUAGGACCUCGGUUCUAUUUUGUUGGUUUCUAGAGCUGAGGUAAUGAUUAAUAGGGAUAGUUGGGGGCAUUCGUAUUUAACUGUCAGAGGUGCAAUUCUUGGAUUUGUUAAAGACGGACUACUGCGAAAGCAUUUGCCAAGGAUGUUUUCAUUGA
rnacentral:rRNA from 1 species